UCUACAAAUGUCCAUCUGAUACAAAUUUCUGAACCAACACAUACAAAAGCUAGUGAAAUAAAGAGUUUUGAUUGCGUGUUUCAAAUAUGAGUGUAAGGUGGCAGAAUUAGCCUCUGAUUACAAAAUUAACUUGACAGAAACAAGAAACAGAAACCACUGUGACCCUCCAGGAGCUGCGUCAGAGGCCUCUACCUCUCCCAGGCCAAUCACUUUGAAACUGUGGCAGGAAAUGAAAAGCCGAGGCAAAUGUAUGAUGUUAGAAUAAAGUCUGCGCUCAGUAGUGUGGUCACUUUGCAGGUGCAAUGGUUUUACAGAAAUGCUAUUUGCCUCCAGGAAGCUGGGCUUUAAUCAUUUUGGAUGUCUCCCUCACCUCAGCGGUUCACCUUCUCCUCACUCCUCCUUCUGCAGCUGUUCUGGCUGGACAGACAGUUCAGUUCUCUUGCACUUUGAAAGAAGGGCAUUGUGAAAAUGUAAUUUUUUUUUGGCGGCAGACACACCUGUUUCCAAAUGGCUCUGAAUCCUCGAAAAGUGAUAUUACAGAAGGAGGACGGUUUUCAAUAAGCAAUAGGCCACUCGGAAGCUCUCUAACCAUUAAACCUGUGAAGCCCAGAGACUGCGGCAACUUCACUUGUUCAGCUCUCUGUGUGAAGAUAAAAAAAGUUUCGUUAUGGGCGACGUCACAUCUGGAGGUGAAAGCGGUCCCCAAACUGAUACUCAUUUCCCAAGCAGCAAAUGAGGACCCCAAUGUGCUGAACCUGACAUGUGCUGCUGUGGGUUUCUACCCUCCUAAUGUUUCAAUCUCCUGGCAUCAUUCUCUCCCUGUGUCACCUCACCCCAUUCAGCAGGGUGACCCCACACUCCUACAGGGUGACACCUACAGCAGCAAAUCUAUACUGCAGGUUAGUGCCGCCCUCUGGACCUUCGGGGAAGAGAUUGGAUGUGAGGUGGGCCACAGCUCUUUAAAACAGCCAAUGAAAGAAAGCAUCAGGAAAGGAGUCAUGGUGCUGCUAUCAAGUGCUCCAGAUGUAAAUGGUGUUAUUACCCUGACAUGCGUUGCUGUUGGUUUCCACCCUCCUGACAUAACCCUGAUCUGGGACCACUCUCUUGUGGGGAUGAUCCACACCACUCAGCAGGGAGCCUCUCCACCCCACCAGGACAGUAUCUACACAAGCAGUUCCACUUUACAGGUCAGCACCUCCCAAUGGAGCCAAGGAGAGGAGAUCACUUGUGUUGGGAACCAUAGCUCUUUGUCCCAGCCAUUGAGGGAGAGAAUCAGGAGAGAAGAGGCAGAAUUUGGAAAAAUCCUUUCUUAGUGGGUGCCUACGUCACAAAAGGAACGUAUCCUCCAAAUUUCAUGUUUCUAGGACCAGUGGUUGAGGCUGGGCAUUGAUAUGUCACCCAGUCAGUCGCCUUACAGUUUUAUAUAUAUACUGUUU